ensembl:lncRNA
AGGAGAGGAGAGAAGAGAAGAGAAGAGAAGAGAAGAGAAGAGAAGAGAAGAGAAGAGAAGAGAAGAGAAGAGAAGAGAAGAGAAGAGAAGAGAAGAGAAGAGAAGAGAAGAGAAGCGAAGCGAAAGGCCAAUAAAAACAACCGAUUUCAGAAUAUUUCAAAACCUACCUUAUUUGAGCUCAGAGACAUGGGAUAUGCUUACACCAAGCUGCCCUGCUGCCCUUCAUCCUCCUAGUCUGGGAGUCACCAGCAAUUGGGGAUGCUCAGCCCAGCUGAGGAUAAGGAUUGAUUGGAUUAAAGUCUGGAAGCUCCUAGGGCACCAGCCUCCUGACUUCUGUGAUGUCCUGGACUGGAUUCAGCUCUGUCCAGCUGAGUCAUUUGGUGAACCUUCCUGCGAAGAAUGUGAUGCUCAAGGAUGAGUAUGUCCUGGGAUGGGUGAGCACCACCCUCCCUUCUGGUCUUCCUAUAAAGAAAUGAGCAGCUAUGAUAAGCACCCAGCAACAAUACUGCUAUAACAGCACCGGCCAGCCCCAUCCUCCCUCUUCCCACCACCCCAGAGGAGGCAGGACAACUCCACCUCCUGCGUAUUCCCCAUCUAUUUUCUGGGCCUUUCCAAAGGUAAGGAAAUCUCUUAAUCCUCAACACUCUUCUAUCAUAUCUCCAUAUCUCCUAUUACAGCCCAUGACCAGCGCUGAUGCAGUUACACAACUUGGUGAGUGGCAGCACAUGAGGGCAGCAGUGGUGUCACCAACCUGCUGCGGACAGGAGGCUUUGGUGAGGGGGACAGCAAUGCCCUAUCCAAGCACAACAUGCAUGAUGGUGCAUUUUGAAGCCCGUUUCAGUCUGGAGGAGGGUUUCAUUCCAUAGAAUUAUAGAAUCACAAAAUCAUCAGCGUUGGAAAAGACCUCCAAGAUCAUCCAGUCCAACCACCCACCUACCAGGAACCAUAGAAUUGUUAAGGUUGGAAAAGACCUCCAAGAUCCCCCAGCCCAACCCCAGCGUGCCCACUGCCCACGUCCCUCAGUGCCACAUCCCCACGGCUCUGGAACACCUGCAGGGAUGGUGACCCCACCACUCCCUGGGCAGCUGUGCCACUGCAUCACUGCUCUUUUGGAGAAGCUUUUCCUCCUACCCAACCUUUUAUUGCCCAGUCUCACUGGUUGGGCACCUUCCAUUUUAACACCCCAUUAAAUCGCGUUGGUUCAGGAAGGACAUGUGGCAGGCACAGAAAUUGCAAAUGAGGUUACGGCCCUCCGCUCCCACACAAUGCAAAUCAUUUUAAUGCAGGGUGAGGGGGCACCAGCUGCUGCCCUGCUGUCGGCCUGAGGCAAUAGGGCCAGGGCAGCACGGCUCUGAUGCUCCAGACAAGCUCCAUGCCCAGGCCCUACCACGAUCCCUCCCGUUAGUGCUGUUCCCAUGGGAUGCAGAGUGUCUGUGCCCUCACCUGGGCCAGACAUUGGGAUACAAGAAAGUCAUCAGCAACAAAACCCCCAACCACCGAGAUAUUUAUAUGUCUAUGGUAUCACUAGCAGCAUCAUGUCCUGUAUCCCUGGACCACGCCGGUCACGUGCAGGGCAGAAAAAUGCAAAGCACAGUAAUUAUCUGUUGCAGAGCCCUGGUAAUGAUUAAGUUUGGGAGCCACUAACAAUCAAGCCUAUUGAAAGGACUACAAGGGUUUCAAAGUGUUUCCUCCGAACCAUGUGACGGCAAAUUGUUCUGGGUAGACGGCUCUUAAUUCAAAUGCUGGUUGUCAUGGGGAUGGGAUAACACCCCUCCUAUUCAAGGAUGCCACACAAGAAGCCUACUAUUCGCUACAAUAGGCUUUCAGUUCAGGCUACACUUCAUACAUAGCCAAAUAUAUAUAUAUCCAGAGAGUGAUAUUGGCACCGACCUUCCUUAACGCAGCAGAGCCGAAGGGCCAGCGGGUUCCAGGGCUGGAGGGAAAGCGGUGAGGGCAUGGGCAGAUGGAUGGGUAGACAGGGAGCCCGUGCUCUGCCUGCACUGAUUGGGCUCAGCCACAGGCGUGUGGGUGGGCAGCUUCGUUUUAAUUUCAAAAUGUCACCAGUGAGGUCGCCUCCCACUCAUGCUGGAGCCAAAAAUCAGUCCGGAGGUGCCACGCUCCUGCAGAUUGGAGGAGUGGGGAUGGGGUCAUGUUCAGCCUCAGCUGGGAAGACCACCUGUCACCAAAGAGCCGAGAUUUAGGGCCACCACUCCUACGGUUCUUCCAUCAGCGCACAGCAGGGUCUGCUGAGAAAGCUGGACAGAGUUAUGGAUGGGAGCAGAGGGCUGAAGGGGGAAGAAGGCAACACCAUGGCAUAAGGGUAG